UACAGAGACUGCAAGCGUUAUUCGGAUUCACUGGGCGUAAAGGGUGCGCAGGCGGCCGUGUGUGUGGGGUGUGAAAGCCUGGGGCUUAACCCCAGAAAUGCGCCUCAAACUACAUGGCUAGAGCAUUGGAGAGGGUAGCAGAAUUCAUGGUGUAGCAGUGAAAUGCGUAGAUAUCAUGAGGAAUACCAGAGGCGAAGGCGGCUACCUGGACAAUUGCUGACGCUCAGGCACGAAAGCGUGGGGAGCAAAAGGG
rnacentral:rRNA from 1 species